CAGCAGCCGCGGUAAAACGUAGGGUGCAAGCGUUAAUCGGAAUUACUGGGCGUAAAGCGUGCGCAGGCGGUUAUAUAAGACAGAUGUGAAAUCCCCGGGCUUAACCUGGGAACUGCAUUUGUGACUGUAUAGCUAGAGUACGGCAGAGGGGGAUGGAAUUCCGCGUGUAGCAGUGAAAUGCGUAGAUAUGCGGAGGAACACCGAUGGCGAAGGCAAUCCCCUGGGCCUGUACUGACGCUCAUGCACGAAAGCGUGGGGAGCAAACAGGAUUAGAGACCCGCGUAGUCCCUGUCUCUUAUAC
rnacentral:rRNA from 1 species